CAGAGGUGUCAAACGUUGUCCGGAAUUACUGGGCGUAAAGGGCGCGUAGGCGGUCCUAUAAGUCAGAUGUGAAAGCUCCGGGCUCAACCCGGGAAUUGCAUCUGAUACUGUAGGACUUGAGUUCGGUAGAGGAGGGCGGAAUUCCAGGUGUAGCGGUGAAAUGCGUAGAUAUCUGGAGGAACACCCGUGGCGAAGGCGGCUCUCUGGUCCGAAACUGACGCUGAGGUGCGAAAGCUAGGGUAGCAAACAGGAUUAGAUACCCUGGUAGUCCUAGCUGUAAACGGUGAGUACUAGGUGUUGGAGGUAUUGACCCCUUCAGUGCCGAAGCUAACGCAUUAAGUACUCCGCUGGGAACUACGAUCGCAAGAUUG
rnacentral:rRNA from 1 species